UGGUUCAACCACCGAGUUAUUCAUUUUUUUUUUCCGGAGUCAACUUUUAUCUGGUUUAAUGAAAGAACCGACCCGAUUUAUGUUCGGGUCACCAGUUCAUUGGGUCGACCUGUUUAGUCGAUCCAGAUUUAAUAACAUUGAUUUUAUGGCAAAAUAAAGUUAGAGAAAUUUGAUAUAUUUUUCACAUUAUAAAAGAAAUUAAGCUAAAAAAAUUAAUUUUAAUUAUUCAGAAUAAAGUAAAUAAGUAUAUAUGUUUAUA
rnacentral:misc_RNA from 1 species